rnacentral:pre_miRNA from 1 species
UUUCUACUCCCUCCGUCCCAAAAUUCUUGUCUUAACUUUAUUUAGAAAUGAAUAUAGUUUAGACAAGAAUUUUGGGACGGAGGGAGUACUAU